CCUACGGGUGGCAGCAGUGAGGAAUAUUGGUCAAUGGACGAGAGUCUGAACCAGCCAAGUAGCGUGAAGGAUGACUGCCCUAUGGGUUGUAAACUUCUUUUAUAUGGGAAUAAAAUGUUCCACGUGUGGGAUUUUGUAUGUACCAUAUGAAUAAGGAUCGGCUAACUCCGUGCCAGCAGCCGCGGUAAUACGGAGGAUCCGAGCGUUAUCCGGAUUUAUUGGGUUUAAAGGGAGCGUAGGUGGAUUGUUAAGUCAGUUGUGAAAGUUUGCGGCUCAACCGUAAAAUUGCAGUUGAAACUGGCAGUCUUGAGUACAGUAGAGGUGGGCGGAAUUCGUGGUGUAGCGGUGAAAUGCUUAGAUAUCACGAAGAACACCGGUUGCGAAGGCAGUUCACUGGACUGCAACUGACACUGAGGCUCGAAAGUGUGGGUAUCAAACAGGAUUAGAUACCCUUGUAGUC
rnacentral:rRNA from 1 species